rnacentral:tRNA from 1 species
GAAAAACACACAGUUAAAUAGAUAGUAAGUUGGUCUAACCUAGGUCGGUCGCAGACAUUUGCAAAUGUUGAAAGCUUUCAAACUAUGAUUUGGUUCGAAAUGGGCUAUUAGCUCAGGUGGUUAGGGCGCAACCCCUGAUAAGGGUGAGGUCCCUGGUUCGAGUCCAGGAUGGCCCACCUGAAGAGAGUUAAGAGUUUGAAGUUAUGAGUUAAGAGUCCAAAACUGAUAACUUAUCACUAAAAACUCAUAACUUUUUGUCUGGGGGUUUAGCUCAGUUGGUAGAGCGCCUGCUUUGCAAGCAGGAUGUCAGCGGUUCGAGUCCGCUAACCUCCACCUAGAGAUAACUCAGGAAUAAAAAUAAGUGAGAAGAAGUCCAGCAACAUGGUGUGAAGCCAGACUGCUGGGUGAGAACUCAGCCAGAACCUUGAAAACUGCAUAGGAAUGGGAAGCAGGCAGACACAGA